rnacentral:rRNA from 1 species
UUCCGUAGGGUGAACCUGCGGAGGGAUCAUUACACAAAUAUGAAGGCGGGCUGGAACCUCUCGGGGUUACAGCCUUGCUGAAUUAUUCACCCUUGUCUUUUGCGUACUUCUUGUUUCCUUGGUGGGUUCGCCCACCACUAGGACAAACAUAAACCUUUUGUAAUUGCAAUCAGCGUCAGUAACAAAUUAAUAAUUACAACUUUCAACAACGGAUCUCUUGGUUCUGGCAUCGAUGAAGAACGCAGCGAAAUGCGAUAAGUAGUGUGAAUUGCAGAAUUCAGUGAAUCAUCGAAUCUUUGAACGCACAUUGCGCCCUUUGGUAUUCCAAAGGGCAUGCCUGUUCGAGCGUCAUUUGUACCCUCAAGCUUUGCUUGGUGUUGGGCGUCUUGUCUCUAGCUUUGCUGGAGACUCGCCUUAAAGUAAUUGGCAGCCGGCCUACUGGUUUCGGAGCGCAGCACAAGUCGCACUCUCUAUCAGCAAAGGUCUAGCAUCCAUUAAGCCUUUUUUUCAACUUUUGACCUCGGAUCAGGUAGGGAUACCCGCUGAACUUAAGCAUAUCAAUAAG